UACGAAGGGGGCUAGCGUUGCUCGGAAUUACUGGGCGUAAAGGGCGCGUAGGCGGACAGUUUAGUCAGAGGUGAAAGCCCAGGGCUCAACCUUGGAACUGCCUUUGAUACUGACUGUCUUGAGUUCGGGAGAGGUGAGUGGAAUGCCGAGUGUAGAGGUGAAAUUCGUAGAUAUUCGGCGGAACACCAGUGGCGAAGGCGACUCACUGGCCCGAUACUGACGCUGAGGCGCGAAAGCGA
rnacentral:rRNA from 1 species